UUGAACGCUGGCGGCAUGCCUUACACAUGCCAGUCGAACGGUAACAGGUCUUCGGAUGCUGACGAGUGGCGAACGGGUGAGUAAUACAUCGGAACGUGCCCGAUCGUGGGGGAUAACGAGGCGAAAGCUUUGCUAAUACCGCAUACGAUCUACGGAUGAAAGCGGGGGAUCUUCGGACCUCGCGCGGACGGAGCGGCCGAUGGCAGAUUAGGUAGUUGGUGGGAUAAAAGCUUACCAAGCCGACGAUCUGUAGCUGGUCUGAGAGGAUGAUCAGCCACACUGGGACUGAGACACGGCCCAGACUCCUACGGGAGGCAGCAGUGGGGAAUUUUGGACAAUGGGCGAAAGCCUGAUCCAGCCAUGCCGCGUGCAGGAUGAAGGCCUUCGGGUUGUAAACUGCUUUUGUACGGAACGAAAAGCCUCUUUCUAAUAAAGAGGGGUCAUGACGGUACCGUAAGAAUAAGCACCGGCUAACUACGUG
rnacentral:rRNA from 1 species